rnacentral:lncRNA from 1 species
GUUUUGGAGACUAGCCAGUGCUGGUCGUAAAGUUGCCAGUUUUUGAGUUGAGCGCUUUUGAGCGAUUGCAUGCAGUAAAUUUUCUUUGGAAAUUAAAUUGGGGAAGCAUAAAGAAAUAUUUUUAUUUAAUUUAUUUUUGUCCACUCACUCUAACUGUUCCACAUGUUUUCCCCUGGGCUCUUCGUUUUAAAUUGCCCAGUCUGCAGAGUUCAGGUUGGACCUAGUAGGAGACGAGGCAUAGUUACCCGCUUUUCCGCCAGUUUUCAUCAGUAGGUUACCUGUUUAACCUACUAGUGUUUUCUUACUUCCGCUAGUGUCUAGUAGCUCUGAAUACUUUGGGAUCAUUGUAUAUUAUUUCCGGUGGUGUGCUCGGUUGGUUGACUUUAUGUUUAGAAUUGCUAAAGAAUAAUAUUUGCUUUUAUUUAGCUGGAUAAUUGUAUGAUAUUUUUUGGAAGUGCUGUAGUGAGUGUGUGAAUUGGAAAUUUUUCGGGUUAGGGUUGUCCAUUUUCAAGGGAGGUUUUACCAAUCUUUUCGGUAAAUUUUCCUUGGAGGUGGUCCCCGCACGACUUACUCAGGGUUUCAGGGUGAAAUUCGGGGUGGGUCGUGUCAUAGCACCGGUAGUAGCACACUGCCCUAUCGACAGUAGCACACUUUUCUUUCAAUAGUAGGCAGUAGCAGGCAGAUUGGUAGUAGAAGUCGACAUUAGCAGUUAGAUUUGCGGUAGUAAUAGCCAUUUCGUCGUUAGUAGCAGAAAGUUUCUAAUAACAACAGUAGCAGCUUUAUAAAGGUCUCAUAUCGCAACAUUAGCAGCUUUGUUUGAUUCCGGAGAAUUGCCUAAAAUAACACCUUUUUAUCGGGUGCUACUGUGCUACUUGAUAGUAGCACCCAAUGUGCUACUGUGCUACUCGGCAGUGUGCUACUAUGCUAUCGUCGACAGUAGCAGUUGAUAUGUAGUGAAAGGUAUUAUGGUAAAAUUAUUGUGACAGAUGGCAUGUGGAUAUUAAUUUGUCCUAAUUUGUUAAUAUUUGUCCUUAAAUGUGUAAGAUAUUGUGUAAAUGAUGUAUUUGUAAACUGAAAUUUGGUUAGUAACUUUAUUGUAAUUUACUAU